GGGGGUGACAGGGUUCGACGGAAGCGGAGCUCUUGAAACUUCAGGCCCUAGUUGGCCGAAGGCUAGGUGAAAAUUCGGCCGAAACUGUACCUGCCGAUAACGUCGGGUACGCUUGGGCAACCGCUUAAUACGCGGUUCGCUCACGCUCCCUAGAGAACGCCUUCUACUCUAGAUCGAGCGUCAUCAGAGGGCUUAAGAACGGAGGAGUCCUGCAGCCUGCAGUCCGUUCUGACACAAACUAGGCGCCCUUUCGGCUUUUCCAGUCUCCAGGGAGGCCGGUAGGUAAAACUGGAGACUAAGCCUGUAAAUGUCUUGGGGUGAAACUUUCGGACGCGAGUUCAAUUCUCGCCACCUCCACCG
rnacentral:tmRNA from 1 species